UUGUCUUUGUUUUAUAAGCCUAACGCCAAGAUCCUUUUCCAUUCAUUUUUCAUCAAUUUUUUCAAGGGAAAUUUGAGAAGAUGUUAAGAGACGAAGAAGAAGAAUGUAGGAGAGAUUAGGGCUCGGCAAGACACAAAAUUGAAAGGAAAAGCUUCAUCUAUGACAGAUUUUGGAACACACAGCACAUCUCUGGUUUUCUAUUGCUUACGAGCUGCACAAACAGAGUUUGAAGCUGAGACUUAUCAGGUAGAGAUCGAGCUCCCGAUGCCUAACACGCUCCCAUUAGUCUACUAGAAGCUUCACACUCCAUUUCAGUAUGUGUGUGUGGUGUUGUACAUUGUCUUGGUACAUUUUGUGUAUGUAAGUUGAUAAAAGUUUGUUUGUGGCAGUAUGUGUUAGUGUUCUUUGUUGUUAUAAUUUUAGAUUGUAAUGUCUAAUGAAGACUAGUUAAACCUUUAGCGAACAGGUUAGGUUGCGUUACAACAUGGUACAAAUUAUGUACUAGUUUCUGCUACGAUGUGUGUGCAUGUUAUUUGUUAAUUUCAUAUUAAAGUAUCAGUUUCCGGUUCAGUUCAAGAGGCAUCGUUAGAGAAGAACGAUGUUUGUUAACUUCACGUGCUAAGAGCAUGUGAUCCUUAAAGGGUGUGAUAUAUUGUCAUAAAUUCCAUAAAAACCCCAAAGAACAUUUAAUUGCUUUC